UACGUAGGGUGCAAGCGUUGUCCGGAAUUAUUGGGCGUAAAGAGCUCGUAGGCGGCCUGUCGCGUCGGCUGUGAAAACCCGGGGCUCAACCCCGGGCCUGCAGUCGAUACGGGCAGGCUAGAGUUCGGCAGGGGAGACUGGAAUUCCUGGUGUAGCGGUGAAAUGCGCAGAUAUCAGGAGGAACACCGGUGGCGAAGGCGGGUCUCUGGGCCGAUACUGACGCUGAGGAGCGAAAGCGUGGGGAGCGAACAGG
rnacentral:rRNA from 1 species